GUGGCGGAAAUGGUUCGCACUUGGCUAUUAACCAAAAGGUUGGUGGUUUAAACCCACCC
rnacentral:tRNA from 1 species